CUCAAGGCAUCUGCCGUGAAUGGCAUAGUGUGGAAGGGAUUCUCUGACACAGUUACUGAAUUGCUAUCAAGAGAUUUCAGAUGGACAAUUAAAAAAAAUCAGGGCUGCCAAUGACCGCUGUUCUUGUCACUCCA